rnacentral:rRNA from 1 species
UUCGGGGUAGAUCUCCCACCCUUUGUAUACUAUACCUCUGUUGCUUUGGCGGGCCGCCUAGCUACUGGCUUCGGCUGGUAAGUGCCCGCCAGAGGACCCAAAACCCUGAAUAUUAGUGUCGUCUGAGUAAAAAGUUUAAUAUUUAAAACUUUCAACAACGGAUCUCUUGGUUCUGGCAUCGAUGAAGAACGCAGCGAAAUGCGAUAAGUAGUGUGAAUUGCAGAAUUCAGUGAAUCAUCGAAUCUUUGAACGCACAUUGCGCCCUUUGGUAUUCCUUAGGGCAUGCCUGUUCGAGCGUCAUUUAAACCUUCAAGCUCAGCUUGGUGUUGGGUGACUGUCCGCCGCCCUCGGGUGCGUGGACUCGCCUCAAAAUUAUUGGCGGCCGGUACAUUGGCUUCGAGCGCAGCAGAAACGCGAACUCGGGCCCGUCGUAUUGGCUCCCAGAAGCUAUCUUCACAAUUUUGACCUCGGAUCAGGUAGGGAUACCCGCUGAACUUAAGCAUAUCAAUAAGCGGAGGAA